CUGGGCAGCUGUUUCGUCACUGGAGAAAGAGAUGUGGAGGGCCAGGUCCUGGUUGGCUGCUGGCUGGGAAGCGUCACAGGGAAGGACACAGGUCCUUGUCCCCCGCCCUGCCGAGCCCUCCUCUGUUCUCCCAGUGCCACGUGGGAGGGGAGAGCACCACACCUGUAGUCCAGGGAUGGAACACUGCUGUGGUGUUCCUACCCUGGCUGAAUGCAGGCCCCAGGGGAGACUGUUACUGUCACUCAUAUGCACAGCUGCCCUGUGGGUGGACACCAUUGAUUCCAUUCCUUCUCUUUUUAUUUUUGGUUUUUCUGAGAUAGAGUCUUAUGUAGUUCAGCUGUCCUUGGACUCACUGUGUAGCUCAGGCUGGCCUCAAACUUGUGGUGAUCCUCCUGCCUCAGCCUCCCAAGUGCUUUUAUUCCAUUUCGUAGAUGGAGGAACAGAAGCUUGGAGAGGUCAGUGGUGAGGCUGGAAUCUGAGCCCAGGGCUAUGACUUCUUGGAUCUUUAUUUUUUUCUGGAACCAGGGCUCAAACUCAGGACCUUGCGCCUUCUGGGCAGGCACGGUGCCACUAAGCUAAAUCCCUGGCCCGAUUUCCUGGAUCUUGCUGCCUUAGAGGCCUGGUUUUUGCAAGGUCUCAGCUUUCUUGCUAACUGCUGCCGCCCAUGUCUCGGUGUUUGCCUUCAUCCCCUGGGGUAAGGAGGGUGGCCAGGAGUGGAGCUGCAGGCUGCAGGGUAAGGAGAGGCUGAGCCUCCGUUUACCACCUCCCUCUUGGCCAGCAGGCUCUGUGGGCUCAGGCUGAGGCUUAAUAUGCAUCCAGGAGGAAUCCUUCCUAAGCCAGGCGGAAUAAGAGGAUGCUGUACUUGGCACCGGGCCUCCCAUGUGUUCGGAGCCCGCCAGAGCCUCCCACACCCUUGGCUCCAACUGUGCCCUCUGUGCGAGCGCUGGCUCAUGGCAGUGUGGUGGCGCAGGGGGCCCUGUGCAUGUAUAGGAGAGGCCUGGCACACAGUGGAGCGUUGAGUCUGACCCAGGGCAGAGUGUUUAUUGAACACCUACUAAGCAGAGGCCUAGUUCCUCACCUCCUCUCAUCCCAGAACAAAUCCAUAGUUUGUGUACUGCCACUGUCCCUGUUGAACAGGAGGAAACUGGGAUUCUGAGAGACCACGGCUUUUGGAGAUCAAACAGCCCGAGAGAGAGUGGAGUUGCUGGUGUGCUCCUGGGGACGCCAACCUGUAGAGGAUGCUGUGUGCCCGGUGCAGAGUGGUGGCCGGGGUAGUUGCCUUGCUGUGAAACAUGCCUCUUGCCAGUCCUGGGUCUGCACAGGAUGAGUGGACGAAACCCUCAGGAGAGCUCACAGAGCAGAGGCUUCCUGCACCCCCAGGCCCUAAGGUGACUCCGGCCCAGCUGCACUCAGUCAACCCCUAGCUGGAGUAUCCAGUACCUCUCCAUCUGCUUGGAGAAGGAAGAGAUGGGCAGCAGUUCUCACACAGGGACAGAGUCUCACUUUCCCCUCUGGCUGGAGCUGGAGAUUAGGCCAUGUGAGCAGAGCCUGGCCCUCCUCCAGGAAUCCUUCUAUGGCUGCUGGACGUGCUCGUUCCACCUCUGUCUGCCAUGGGAUCCAUCCCAUGCUCCUUCCAGGGCUCGAUCCUCCACCAUCACCCCCACCAUGGCCUCAUCCCUGUUUCCUCGAACUCUGAGAUCUUCCUGGAGGGACCCUGUGACCAAGUCCUGGCUGCUCUGAGCCUGGGGCUGCAGAGCCUCCUGCCCACAUCUGCAGGGCCCUGAUGCUGUCUGGCUCCUAACUGGCUCCCAAGCCUGCUCCUCUCCCUGACCUGGUCCCAGGGGACUGCUCAGCUUCAGGACUCAGCAGGGCACAGCAGCAAUUACGGUAGGUGACAUUCUGCCCCACCCACUUUCUGGAUCCCUGGGAUAUCUGAGACUUCUUCCUAGAUGGAAAAGGAUAUCUUUCUGACCAUGAUCAGUCAGAAAGACAGAUUAGGUUAUAAGUAGCAAAAACAAGAACAAAAACCUGUUUUGAUAAAAUAAAGGUGGGUUUCAGGUAAGACUUGAUCCAGCGACUCCAACAAUAGGAACAGGACUUGGUUUCUGCCCAUAUUCCUUCUAGCCUCUGCCUUGGUGAUAGCUGUACUCCUAGCAGCAUUUGACAGGAUUUGAUCAAAAGAUGUUUAUGGCAGCGGUUUCUGGGGCAAUGUUUUUCUAGGUUUAAAUCGGGGGUUGAGGCUGAGAUCAGUCUCAGAGUUGAUCUUUUGAGCCCUGUUGGCAGAACUUGGAUCAUUGUGAACCUUUACUUGGGCCCGCAGGGCUUGGAAAUGCCGAUAGUCUAUCCUGCCCUUCCAAGGCCCACUCCAGGUUUUCCUUUUCCAGGAAGCUCUGUUGACUGUCCAGCCAGGGUUGGCUCUGUGAUCCCAUCUUCCAGAUGAGAAGCCUGAGGCCAAGGUGCAUUUUUCCC
rnacentral:lncRNA from 1 species